CCAAGGCAGGGUUGAUGAUUGGGGUUAAGUCGUAACAAGGUAUCCCNACCGGAAGGUGGGGAUGGAUCACCUCCUUUCUAUGGAGUUUAGUUUCUUUAAGAAACCAAAUAACAAGAAAAAUCAGAUGUGUGACUUAUUGGAUUAGUUGGUUUGUUCUGUUUAGUUUUCAGGGAUUGUUAUCUCUGAGNAAUUGUUCUUUAAAAACUGGAUAAUAGACAUCUUUUAAAAAAAUAAGAUAAAUUUUAUCUUGCAAU
rnacentral:misc_RNA from 1 species